GCUGGCGGCGUGCCUGACACAUGCAAGUCGAACGAACUGAGGGGCCGUUGAUCGGGUUUCGGAAGGGUUCGUCCCGGAAGAGCCUGUGAGGUUCCUUGGUUAGUGGCGAACGGGUGAGUAACACGUAGGUGACCUGCCCCGAAGAGGGGGAUAACCACUGGAAACGGUGGCUAAUACCCCGUGUGAUCCUGCAUUCGGUUGCGGGAUUAAAGGCUCCGGCGCUUCGGGAGGGGCCUGCGGCCUAUCAGCUAGUUGGUAGGGUAAUGGCCUACCAAGGCUAUGACGGGUAGCUGGUCUGAGAGGACGCACAGCCACACUGGCACUGAGACACGGGCCAGACUCCUACGGGAGGCAGCAGUGAGGGAUAUUGCGCAAUGGGGGAAACCCUGACGCAGCAACGCCGCGUGGGCGAAGAAGGUCUUCGGAUCGUAAAGCCCUUUUCUCUCGGACGAGGAAGGACGGUACGGGAGGAAUAAGCGUCGGCUAACUACGUGCCAGCAGCCGCGGUAAAACGUAGGACGCAAGCGUUAUCCGGAUUUAUUGGGCGUAAAGGGCGUGUAGGCGGCGUCUUAAGUUNGGGCGUGAAAUCUUCCGGCUCAACCGGAAGGGUGCGUUCAAUACUNGGGACGCUUGAGGGCAGCAGAGGGAGGUGGAAUUCCCGGAGUAGCGGUGGAAUGCGUAGAUAUCGGGAGGAACACCAGUNGGCGAAGGCGGCCUCCUGGGCUGUACCUGACGCUGAAGCGCGAAAGCGUGGGGAGCAAACGGGAUUAGAUACCCCGGUAGUCCACGCCGUAAACGAUGGAUACUAGGUGUCGGUGGUAUUGACCCCAUCGGUGCCGCAGCUAACGCAUUAAGUAUCCCGCCUG
rnacentral:rRNA from 1 species